UGGGGGAUAUUGCACAAUGGGCGAAAGCCUGAUGCAGCGACGCCGCGUGGGGGAUGAAGGCCUUCGGGUUGUACACUUCUUUUGCUCUGAACAAGGCAUGCUAAUGGGUGUGUUGAGUGUAGGGGUUGAGUAGCGCCGGCUAACUACGUGCCAGCAGCCGCGGUAAUACGUAGGGCGCGAGCGUUGUCCGGAAUUAUUGGGCGUAAAGGGCUUGUAGGUGGCUGGUUGCGUCUGUCGUGAAAGCUCAUGGCUUAACUGUGGGUUUGCUGUGGGUACGGGCUGGCUUGAGUGCAGUAGGGGAGGCUGGAAUGGCUGGUGUAGCGGUGGAAUGCGCAGAUAUCAGGACGAAUGCAGGUGGCGAAGGCGGGUCUCUGGGCUGUUACUGACACUGAGGAGCGAAAGCAUGGGGAGCGAACAGG
rnacentral:rRNA from 1 species